UGGGGAAUUUUGGACAAUGGGCGCAAGCCUGAUCCAGCCAUGCCGCGUGCGGGAAGAAGGCCUUCGGGUUGUAAACCGCUUUUGGCAGGAACGCGGUACCUGCAGAAUAAGCACCGGCUAACUACGUGCCAGCAGCCGCGGUAAUACGUAGGGUGCAAGCGUUAAUCGGAAUUACUGGGCGUAAAGCGUACGCAGGCGGCUAUGCAAGACAGGUGUGAAAUCCCCGGGCUUAACCUGGGAACUGCAUUUGUGACUGUAUGGCUAGAGUUUGUCAGAGGGGGGUGGAAUUCCACGUGUAGCAGUGAAAUGCGUAGAGAUGUGGAGGAACACCGAUGGCGAAGGCAGCCCCCUGGGAUGUGACUGACGCUCAUGUACGAAAGCGUGGGGAGCAAACAGGAUUAGAUA
rnacentral:rRNA from 1 species